rnacentral:rRNA from 1 species
GUCUAUGGCCAUGCCACCCUGAACAAGCCCGAUCCCGUCUGAUCUUGUGAAGCUAAGCAGGGUCGGGCCUGGUUAGUACUUGGAUGGGAGACCACCCAGGAAGACCUAGGCGUAAAAA